rnacentral:rRNA from 1 species
GAUGAACGCUGGCGGCGUGCUUAACACAUGCAAGUCGAACGAGAAGUGAAGACGGAAACCUUCGGGCGGAAGGCUUUAUUUCGAGUGGCGGACGGGUGAGUAACGCGUGGGUAACCUGCCUCAUACAGGGGGAUAACAGUUGGAAACGACUGUUAAUACCGCAUAAGACCACAGCACCGCAUGGUGCGGGGGUAAAAACUCCGGUGGUAUGAGAUGGACCCGCGUUCGAUUAGCCAGUUGGCGGGGUAACGGCCCACCAAAGCGACGAUCGAUAGCCGAUCUGAGAGGAUGACCGGCCACAUUGGGACUGAGACACGGCCCAAACUCCUACGGGAGGCAGCAGUGGGGAAUAUUGCACAAUGGGGGAAACCCUGAUGCAGCGACGCCGCGUGAGUGAAGAAGUAUUUCGGUAUGUAAAGCUCUAUCAGCAGGGAAGAAAAUGACGGUACCUGAGUAAGGAGCCCCGGCUAACUACGUG